rnacentral:rRNA from 1 species
GGGCGCAAGCCUGAUCCAGCCAUGCCGCGUGAGUGAUGAAGGCCUUAGGGUUGUAAAGCUCUUUUAUCCGGGACGAUAAUGACGGUACCGGAGGAAUAAGCCCCGGCUAACUUCGUGCCAGCAGCCGCGGUAAUACGAAGGGGGCUAGCGUUGCUCGGAAUCACUGGGCGUAAAGGGCGCGUAGGCGGCGUUUUAAGUUGGGGGUGAAAGCCUGUGGCUCAACCACAGAAUUGCCUUCGAUACUGGGACGCUUGAGUGUGGUAGAGGUUGGUGGAACUGCGAGUGUAGAGGUGAAAUUCGUAGAUAUUCGCAAGAACACCGGUGGCGAAGGCGGCCAACUGGACCAUCACUGACGCUGAGGCGCGAAAGCGUGGGGAGCAAACAGGAUUAGAUACCCUGGUAGUCCACGCUGUAAACGAUGAAUGCCAGCCGUUGGGGGGCUUGCCCUUCAGUGGCGCAGCUAACGCUUUGAGCAUUCCGCCUGGGGAGUACGGUCGCAAGAUU